rnacentral:rRNA from 1 species
AACGAACGUUGGCGGCACGCUUAACACAUGCAAGUCGAACGAGAAACCCGAGCUUGCUCGGGUGGACAGUGGCAGACGGCUUAGUAACGCGUGGGUAUCUACCUAGAGGUUUGGAACAACUAUUGGAAACGAUAGCUAAUACCAAAUAUUCCCUACGGGGGAAAGAUUUAUCGCCUUUAGAUGAGCCCGCGUCGGAUUAGCUUGUUGGUAGGGUAAAGGCCUACCAAGGCUACGAUCCGUAGCUGGUCUGAGAGGAUGAUCAGCAAGAUUGGGACUGAGACACGGCCCAGACUCCUACGGGAGGCAGCAGUGGGGAAUAUUGCGCAAUGGGGGAAACCCUGACGCAGCGAUGCCGCGUGAGUGAAGAAGGCCCUAGGGUUGUAAAACUCUUUCACCGGUGAAGAUAAUGACGGUAGCCGGAGAAGAAGCCCCGGCUAACUCCGUG